rnacentral:rRNA from 1 species
UACAGAGGUGGCAAGCGUUGUUCGGAAUUACUGGGCGUAAAGGGCGCGUAGGCGGCCUUGUAAGUCUCGUGUGAAAGCCCUCGGCUUAACUAAGGAUCUGCACGGGAUACUGCGAGGCUUGAGUUCGGGAGAGGAAAGCGGAAUUCCGGGUGUAGCGGUGAAAUGCGUAGAUAUCCGGAGGAACACCAGUGGCGAAGGCGGCUUUCUGGACCGACACUGACGCUGAGUGCGCGAAAGCUAGGGGAGCAAACGGG